GACGAACGCUGGCGGCGUGCCUAAUACAUGCAAGUAGAACGCUGACUACUUUAGCUUGCUAGAGUAGAAGGAGUUGCGAACGGGUGAGUAACGCGUAGGUAACCUGCCUACUAGCGGGGGAUAACUAUUGGAAACGAUAGCUAAUACCGCAUAACAGUGUUUAACACAUGUUAGAUGCUUGAAAGAUGCAAAUGCAUCACUAGUAGAUGGACCUGCGUUGUAUUAGCUAGUUGGUGGGGUAACGGCCUACCAAGGCGACGAUACAUAGCCGACCUGAGAGGGUGAUCGGCCACACUGGGACUGAGACACGGCCCAGACUCCUACGGGAGGCAGCAGUAGGGAAUCUUCGGCAAUGGGGGCAACCCUGACCGAGCAACGCCGCGUGAGUGAAGAAGGUUUUCGGAUCGUAAAGCUCUGUUGUAAGAGAAGAACGUGUGUGAGAGUGGAAAGUUCACACAGUGACGGUAACUUACCAGAAAGGGACGGCUAACUACGUGCCAGCAGCCGCGGUAAUACGUAGGUCCCGAGCGUUGUCCGGAUUUAUUGGGCGUAAAGCGAGCGCAGGCGGUUUAAUAAGUCUGAAGUUAAAGGCAGUGGCUUAACCAUUGUUCGCUUUGGAAACUGUUAAACUUGAGUGCAGAAGGGGAGAGUGGAAUUCCAUGUGUAGCGGUGAAAUGCGUAGAUAUAUGGAGGAACACCGGUGGCGAAAGCGGCUCUCUGGUCUGUAACUGACGCUGAGGCUCGAAAGCGUGGGGAGCAAACAGGAUUAGAUACCCUGGUAGUCCACGCCGUAAACGAUGAGUGCUAGGUGUUAGGCCCUUUCCGGGGCUUAGUGCCGCAGCUAACGCAUUAAGCACUCCGCCUGGGGAGUACGACCGCAAGGUUGAAACUCA
rnacentral:rRNA from 1 species